rnacentral:rRNA from 1 species
CGGGGGAAAAAAUUAUUGCUAUUGGAUGAGCCUAUAUUAGAUUAGCUAGUUGGUGGGGUAAUAGCCUACCAAGGUAAUGAUCUAUAGCUGAUCUGAGAGGAUGAUCAGCCACACUGGAACUGAGAUACGGUCCAGACUCCUACGGGAGGCAGCAGUGGGGAAUAUUGGACAAUGGGCGAAAGCCUGAUCCAGCCAUGCCGCAUGAGUGAAGAAGGCCUUUGGGUUGUAAAGCUCUUUUAGUGAGGAAGAUAAUGACGGUACUCACAGAAGAAGUCCUGGCUAACUCCGUGCCAGCAGCCGCGGUAAUACGGAGAGGGCUAGCGUUAUUCGGAAUUAUUGGGCGUAAAGGGCGCGUAGGCUGGUUAAUAAGUUAAAAGUGAAAUCCCGAGGCUUAACCUUGGAAUUGCUUUUAAAACUAUUAAUCUAGAGAUUGAAAGAGGAUAGAGGAAUUCCUGAUGUAGAGGUAAAAUUCGUAAAUAUUAGGAGGAACACCAGUGGCGAAGGCGUCUAUCUGGUUCAAAUCUGACGCUGAAGCGCGAAGGCGUGGGGAGCAAACAGGAUUAGAUACCCUGGUAGUCCACGCUGUAAACGAUGAAUGUUAAAUAUGGGGAGUUUACUUUCUUUUUUACAGCU